UGAUGUGAAAUUGUGCUUCGUGCAACAUAAUUCUGGGUGCCAUUUAAAAACCAUAAGUGCUAAUGACUCCAUUCCUUUUAGUGGUAAUGGGGGCUGCUAAUUGGAGUACUCUAAAACAAACCUGACCUCUCUAGGACAUUCAGAAGCCAAGUUAUAAGCCCACAAAGGUGUAACUGGACUACUUCUUUAAAGAGCGGGUCAAUUGAGCCUCGGAGUCCUUCUCCACCCACGUAUCAAUUUUAAAAAAUGCAACAUUAGUAGGCGUUGCCUGGAGGACCGAGAGGGCGGAGCCGCGGCAGUGACGAAGACGAUGGCUAACUAGACGAAGCUAGCUCCCUUCACUCUGAGCAGUUGAUAGAAGUGGAGGACGUUUCUCCCCCUCCUUACAGACACUCGAGAAGAAAGGGACCAAGUCUAUUUGGAGGAGACAAGCGGACCUGAGUCUUAUUGUUUUGAGCUUGUGAGUUGCCUGAAACUCCCAGAACCGACCCAACAGAAUCACCUCUGAAAGGUCCUCUGGUGUCUGCAGCUGGUCUCUGGUGUCUGCAGCUGGUCUCCUCUGCUGGUGUCCUCAGGAUCAGGAACUUCCAGAAGAAUGUGCCUUUCAAUGACUCUUUCCCCCUUAUUUGUUAUAUUAAUUAAAUAAAUCUCAAUUUAUAUA